CUAAAACUAAUUGCAAAAAAUUAAAUCAAUGUAAUGAAAUGAUAGAAUGAUAAAAAUCAACAAUAUUCAUAUAUGACAAAACCACAACCAGACCUCUUCUCCUCCGCCACACCGACAUUGCCAAACAUGAAAUUAAAUCCACCAUCCGAACCACCUCUAACUCUACACUCAAAAUCCAUCAACCAUUGAACCUAAUUCCAAAUCUAUCAAUCAAAUCGAAACAGAAAAUGCAUGAAACCUAAUCUACAAAACCAGAAAUUAAAUGAAUAUAACGAUGAAUCAAAGCCUCUCAUGAGAGGGCUUUGAUUCCAGGAACCACGAACUACAUCCUGGUAUCGUCCUCGAAGCCAAACGAAGCUGAAUAGAACACCUACCUACCAUAGAAGAUGACGUAUACGGCGGAGACGGCACCGGAAUCCACAGGUUCGAACAAGCUUCUGACUUGGCUCAUGUUGUUGUAAACCUUGACAGUAGCUUGUAAUUUCGGGCUUGGUUUCAUGUAGCAUUGCUCAUGCUACACCUGGUUUUACUGCAUUCAUUCCAACUUGUGAUUCAUUUUGGCAUGUUUGUGGAGUGCAGGUCUUGGUUUUUGGUCACAUGGUUCUGCAACAGGUCUGCAAUAUGGUGAAUGGUUUCUGAUGUAGCAGGGUGUAUUGCUUCAUGGAAUGUUUUAGGUUUGCAUUGUAGCUUGUGAUUUCUGCAGGUGUAUCAUGUAUGUGUUGCUUCAUGUUGUGUUCUGCAGCAUAUGUGCAGUAGGUCGUGGUUUCAUGUAGUGGACAAUGGUGGUUGAACACAAAUGGUCAAGUUUGAAUUUGAAGCCUCAAUGUACAAAUGGCCAACCAAAGAUCAAGAUGGAUACUUUGAAGAUUUGGAAAGGAGUUUAGGGUUUUAGGAUGGAAAAAAAGUUGGGUUGACUUUGGUCAAAGUUGACCAAAAAGUCAACUGUUGACUAAAGUCAACAUUUGGUCAACAUAUAAUUUUUGGCAUUUUUUUUAUAAUGAACAAUGUAUGAUGGAAUUGGCCAUUUGAAUGAAAAUGAAUUAGUUUUUGAA